rnacentral:rRNA from 1 species
UACGGAGGAUCCAAGCGUAUCCGGAUUUAUUGGGUUUAAAGGGUGCGUAGGCGGCCUAUUAAGUCAGGGGUGAAAGACGGUAGCUUAACUAUCGCAGUGCCUUUGAUACUGAUGGGCUUGAAUGAACUAGAGGUAGGCGGAAUGUGACAAGUAGCGGUGAAAUGCAUAGAUAUGUCACAGAACACCAAUUGCGAAGGCAGCUUACUAUGGUUUUAUUGACGCUGAGGCACGAAAGCGUGGGGAUCAAACAGG